GUACUUCAACUUAAAGGAAUGAGGAAGAUGGGGAUUUCAGACAUUUUGGCUCAAUGAGGACUGCUUCCUCCCCCAUCUACUGAAGUUAGGUGUGGUCAUAUGAUUUUCCAUGUCAAUAAAAUGUGUUACUACUGGACUUGGGACACAGUAUGAAGGCAAAGACUCAUGGCUAGGCUGCUGUGUUGUCUAUGGUGCUUUUGAUUCUAAGUGUCACAAAACCCAAUUCAAACUGGCUUAAACAAUGAGAAAAUGUAUUAUUUCAUGGAACAGAAGCCCAGAGGAAGGGCAGCUACAAAAUUGGUUGAAUCGGUGAUUUAUUGAUGUCAUAAAGAACCCAGGUUCUUUUUUGCCUUUUGAUUCUGUUGUCCACAGCAUUGACUUCACCUAAGGCUGGUUGCCCUAUGGUCAAUAAUAGCAACCAGAAGCAAGGGGCACAUAUGUUCUUCUUUGUUGCUACCCAGCCAGAAAGAGAAAUGCUCCUAUCCUCUUCUGUUCUUUCUGAGCCAAAUUAGGUCACAUGUUCAUGCCUGGAGGGUGGAGGGGAAGGUAACCAGGGCAAUGUCACAUGUUGUUUGUCUUAGAAAAAAACAAGAUUCCUAGAGUUGGAGAAGGGGUAAAUUUCUCCUGAGUCAAUCCUACGGCUAACUAAGGAAUUUAAUAACUGAAUAAAGUCAGCCUUUGGUUAGCAAGGAGGAUGAAGUUUGAUGGGAAAACAACCGACAGUGUUUACGAUACAGCAGGUAUUCAGCUGAAGCACAAUCACGUCUGCCAACUUGAUUAUUUCUGCUACACUUUUCCUGGGGUUCCUUCCACAGAGAAAUGUAUUGAGAUGGUAAAAUUCAUACUCUCCAUUGCAUCAUGAGUUUCAAUCUUAAUUCUGAAAUCUGUUCAUGAGCAAGUUGUUUCAAAUCUUGAGAGACUAGAUAUACAAAUGGACAAUGGCCAGACCAUACAUAGAAAAUAAAAUUCUGACCCACAACCCAAGUCCAGAAAGUCAGUCUACUAUCUACAGUAACCAGUUCAGGAAGUCAGACUACUAUGUCUAGCAGGCGGUCCUUGAAAUAAACAGUAACUCCCAUUGGCCCAAAAUGGCCAGGGCUUGAUUAAUAACUGACAACUUCUACAUUUUUGCCCCUCACCCACCUCGGCUUCCAACUUAGGACCAAGUAGAGAAAGCCAACUACGUACAUCUGAACAAUCACAUAGGAUGCCCCACUUCUAGUUAUCUCACCUGCAGCUUCCCCAUGCCAACAGCCUCCAGUUGGGGUGCACCUGAAGCCUUCCCUUUGUUCUGCUAUAAAGCUUUCCCACUCCUCUGCCUGCUAGAAUCUCUGCCCAGUGCA